GGCUUUUUCGAAGGGUUUUACAAGGUGGUCAUGCGCCGGACCUCCGUCUACGCCACCUUCGUAAUCGCCGGCGCUUUCCUCGGAGAACGAAAACGUUACGAAGACAUUCCAGUCUUGGGGCAAAGACCAUCAGAAGAAUGAAUUGUUCUCUCCUUGGUGAUUUUCUAAGUUCAAUACAUUUUGGAAGUUUGAAGCAUUUAUGUACUAGACAGCAUUGUGCAUGUUUGCAAUAAGCGUUUGUAGGCUUGUGUCAUCAGACAUUUUCCAAGCACGGUUUCACUCAUCCAGGCUGUUUGGAAGUGUUAAAUCGGGUAUAAAUUCUGUAUGACUACAUUGAUUCGUCUCUGAACAUUGUGUUCUUAAGUUAACUUUCUGAGUUUCUAAUCAGAUUCUCGACAUAUUCGUUUUCU